AGUUGAUUCUGGCUCAGAACGAACGCUGGCGGCGCGUCUUAAGCAUGCAAGUCGAGCGGCAAGAGGUAGCAAUACCUCCUAGAGUGGCGGACUGGUGAGUAACACGUGGGUGACAUACCCUUCAGAUGGGGAUAGCUAUUAGAAAUAGUAGAUAAUACCGAAUACGAGCACAGGGGUUAGAGAUCUGUGAGGAAAGGAGCUAAGGCUCCGCUGAAGGAAUGGCCUGCGGCCCAUUAGCUAGUUGGUGAGGUAAGAGCCCACCAAGGCGAUGAUGGGUAUCCGGCCUUAGAGGGUGAACGGACACAUUGGGACUGAGAUACGGCCCAGACUCCUACGGGAGGCAGCAGCUAAGAAUAUUCCGCAAUGGACGAAAGUCUGACGGAGCGACGCCGCGUGGAUGAAGAAGGCCGGAAGGUUGUAAAAUCCUUUUGAAACUGAAGAAUAAGCGUUGUAGGGAAUGACAGCGUGGUGACAGUAGGUUUUGAAUAAGCAACGGCUAAUUACGUGCCAGCAGCGGC
rnacentral:rRNA from 1 species